rnacentral:lncRNA from 1 species
AGUAGCUGGGACUACAGGCGCCUGCAACCACACCCGGCUAAUUUUUUGUAUUUUUAGUAGAGAAGGGGUUUCACUGUGUUAGCCAGGACGGUCUCGAUCUCCUGACCUCGUGAUCCACCCGCCUCGACCUCCCAAAGUGCUGGGAUUACAGGCAUGAGCCACUGCGCCUCGCCAAUAAAAAUUACCUCAAAAUGGAUUAUAGAUUUAGAUGUGAAAUGUAAAACUAUAAGCUUUUAGAAGAAAACAUAGGAGAAAAUCUUCAAGACCUGUGCCUUGUUGAGGAAUUCUUAGAUGUGACACCAAAAGCACAAUCCAUAAA